rnacentral:rRNA from 1 species
GACGAACGCUGGCGGCGUGGAUUAGGCAUGCAAGUCGGACGGUAGGGCUUUAUCGUAAGAUAGAGUUUGAGAGUGGCGAACGGGUGAGUAACACGUAGGAAUCUACCCUUAAGACGGGGACAACCCAGGGAAACUUGGGCUAAUACCGGAUGAGAGUGCGAGAGAUUGCAUUUAAAAGGAUGGCGAAAGUUGUCGCUUAGGGAUGAGCCUGCGGUCUAUUAGUUAGUUGGUGAGGUAAGAGCUCACCAAGGCGAUGAUAGAUAGGCGGCCUUAACGGGUGGUCGCCCACACUGGGAUUGAGAUACGGCCCAGACUCCUACGGGAGGCAGCAGUGGGGAAUUUUGGACAAUGGGCGCAAGCCUGAUCCAGCAAUGCCGCGUGCAGGAUGAAGGCCUUCGGGUUGUAACUGCUUUUGUACGGAACGAAAGGCUCUGGUUAAUACCGUGGGCUCAUGACGGUACCGUAAGAAUAAGCACCGGCUAACUACGUGCCAGCAGCCGCGGUAAUAGUA